rnacentral:rRNA from 1 species
UAGAGUUUGAUCCUGGCUCAGAUUGAACGCUGGCGGCAGGCCUAACACAUGCAAGUCGAGCGGUAACAGAGAUAGCUUGCUAAUCUGCUGAUGAGCGGCGGACGGGUGAGUAAUGCCUAGGAAGUUGCCCGGUAGAGGGGGAUAACCAUUGGAAACGAUGGCUAAUACCGCAUAAUCUCUAAGGAGCAAAGCAGGGGACCUUCGGGCCUUGUGCUACCGGAUACGCCUAGGUGGGAUUAGCUAGUUGGUGAGGUAAUGGCUCACCAAGGCGACGAUCCCUAGCUGGUCUGAGAGGAUGAUCAGCCACACUGGAACUGGGACACGGUCCAGACUCCUACGGGAGGCAGCAGUGGGGAAUAUUGCACAAUGGGCGAAAGCCUGAUGCAGCCAUGCCGCGUGUGUGAAGAAGGCUCUAGGGUUGUAAAGCACUUUCAGUAGGGAGGAAGGCCAGAGUGUUAAUAGCGCUUUGGAUUGACGUUACCUACAGAAGCAGCACCGGCUAACUCCGUGCCAGCAGCCGCGGUAAUACGGAGGGUGCAAGCGUUAAUCGGAAUUACUGGGCGUAAAGCGCGCGUAGGCGGUUUGUUAAGUGUGAUGUGAAAGCCCAGGGCUCAACCUUGGAACUGCAUCACAUACUGGCAAGCUAGAGUACUGUAGAGGGGGGUAGAAUUUCA